CCUACGGGUGGCAGCAGUGAGGAAUAUUGGUCAAUGGACGGAAGUCUGAACCAGCCAUGCCGCGUGCAGGAAGACGGCCCUAUGAGUUGUAAACUGCUUUUGUACAAGGGUAAACCUGAAUACGUGUAUUCUUUUGAAUGUACUUUAUGAAUAAGGAUCGGCUAACUCCGUGCCAGCAGCCGCGGUAAUACGGAGGAUCCAAGCGUUAUCCGGAUUUAUUGGGUUUAAAGGGUGCGUAGGUGGGUUGUUAAGUUAGUGGUGAAAGGUUCGAGCUGAACUCGGGAAUUGCCUUUAAUACUGGUGAUCUAGAGGAUAGAUGAGGUAGGCGGAAUGCAUGGUGUAGCGGUGAAAUGCUUAGAGAUCAUACAGAACACCGAUUGCGAAGGCAGCUUACCAAUCUAUAACUGACGUUGAGGUACGAAAGCGUGGGGAGCAAACAGGAUUAGAUACCCCAGUAGUC
rnacentral:rRNA from 1 species